rnacentral:lncRNA from 1 species
UAAAAGUUCGAUCUCGAGAGUUUUAGCAGAGUCCUUAGAGUUUUUACUCUCGGGGACCGGUCCCUGAUAGGAGAGACCGGUCCCCCAGUGAACAGUGCUGCCCAGCCGGCGAGGCAACCGGUCUCUGGCAGUCGAGACCGGUCCCCGAGCGCGUCUGCGCGGGGAGAGACCGGUCCCGCGCAGGGAGAGACCGGUUCCCGAACGUUGGAUUUUCGGGGGUAGGCUGAGAGACCGGUCCCAGGUCGGGGAGACCGGUCCCUCUGGGCGAAAACUGCCCAGACCGAGCUGAUGUAAAUUUGAGUUUUUGAGGGACCUAAGUGGAUUUUGUUGCUUUUAAUAGCCUAUUUGGCCAUAUCACCCUCUUCUCUCCUCAUUUCUUCCCUUCCCACCUAUUCUAGAGAGAGAAGAAGAGAGGGAGAAGAAGAAGAAGAAGAAGAAGAGGAGAAGGAGCUUGCUUGGAGGCUUUGGAGCAUCAUCUUCUUCCCCAUUUUCUCACCUUGGUGGCUUCGAGCUUGCGGUUGGAGCUUUGUGGAGGAUCAAACUUCAACCCUACUUGGUUUUGAGCUUGGAUUGAAGCUCCUCUUGAGGUUGGUAGCAUGUAAUCCCUACUUGAUACAUGUUUUUCUAGGUUUUGCUAGAUGAAACCCUAGAUUGGGAUUCUAGGGUUAGAUUUGGGGCUUUUUGAUUUGAGGGCUUUGAAACCUUUCUGAUGGGUUUGGAACCUUUAUAUAGGUUAGAUUGGAAGACCCCUACCUUCCAUUUGAAGAUUAAGAGAGGGCUACCUUCCAUUUGAAGAUUAAGAGAGGGUUUUUCACUUGAGGUGAGUUUUUCGCAACCCUAGCUUGAGUUGGUUAAUGAUUGAACUUAGCGUCAUUCGUUUUGACUAGAUGACACUUGUUCUCAUACCUUUAGGGUACUAGGAGUGUGGUGGACGCCUUCGUCGUGACAAACGAAAGCUUUCGUUGACGACGGUGGGUUUGGCUUCUUUGAAAUGGGAGGAAAUUCCUCCGAUGCGGUUAAAUGCUUUCAUUUACUAUACAUUCAUGCAUAUUCAUGUUUAGUAGCAUUUAUGAGAAUCUCUGAAUGCCUAGAAUUCAUGUGUUAUGCAUCAAGAAAAUUU